rnacentral:rRNA from 1 species
ACGCACGCUGGCGGCGUGCUUCACCCCUGCCAGUCGCACGGAAAGGCCCUGCUUGCAGGGUACUCGAGUGGCGAACGGGUGAGUAACACGGGGGUGAUCUGCCCUGCACUUCGGGAUAAGCCUGGGAAACUGGGUCUAAUACCGGAUAGGAGCCAUUUUUAGUGUGAUGGUUGGAAAGUUUUUUCGGUGUAGGAUGAGCUCGCGGCCUAUCAGCUUGUUGGUGGGGUAAUGGCCUACCAAGGCGGCGACGGGUAGCCGGCCUGAGAGGGUGGACGGCCACAUUGGGACUGAGAUACGGCCCAGACUCCUACGGGAGGCAGCAGUGGGGAAUAUUGCACAAUGGGCGCAAGCCUGAUGCAGCGACGCCGCGUGGGGAUGACGGCCUUCGGGUUGUAAACUCCUUUCGCUAGGGACGAAGCUUUUUGUGACGGUACCUAGAUAAGAAGCACCGGCUAACUACGUG